rnacentral:rRNA from 1 species
GACGAACGCUGGCGGCGUGCUUAACACAUGCAAGUCGAACGCUGAAGCUCAGCUUUUGUUGGGUGGAUGAGUGGCGAACGGGUGAGUAACACGUGCGUAACCUGCCUCCUUCUUUGGGAUAACGCCCGGAAACGGGUGCUAAUACUGGAUAUUCACUGGUCUUCGCAUGGGGGUUGGUGGAACGGGUUUUUCUGGUGGGGGAUGGGCUCGCGGCCUAUCAGCUUGUUGGUGGGGUGAUGGCCUACCAAGGCUUUGACGGGUUGCCGGCAUGAGAGGGUGACCGGGCACAUUGGGACUGAGAUACGGCCCAGACUACUACGGGAGGCGGCAGUGGGGAAUAUUGCACAAUGGGCGCAAGCCUGAUGCAGCGACGCCGCGUGAGGGAUGGGGGCCUUCGGGUUGUGAACCUCUUUCGCUCAUGGUCAAGCCGCAACAAUGGUUGUGGUGAGGGUAGUGGGUAAAGAAGCGCCGGCUAACUACGUG